rnacentral:rRNA from 1 species
GAUGAACGCUGGCGGCGUGCCUAACACAUGCAAGUCGAACGAAGCACCUUACCUGAUUCUUCGGAUGAAAGUUUGGUGACUGAGUGGCGGACGGGUGAGUAACGCGUGGGUAACCUGCCCUGUACAGGGGGAUAACAGCUGGAAACGGCUGCUAAUACCGCAUAAGCGCACGAGGAGACAUCUCCUUGUGUGAAAAACUCCGGUGGUACAGGAUGGGCCCGCGUCUGAUUAGCUGGUUGGCAGGGUAACGGCCUACCAAGGCAACGAUCAGUAGCCGGUCUGAGAGGAUGAACGGCCACAUUGGAACUGAGACACGGUACAAACUCCUACGGGAGGCAGCAGUGGGGAAUAUUGCACAAUGGGGGAAACCCUGAUGCAGCAACGCCGCGUGAGUGAAGAAGUAUUUCGGUAUGUAAAGCUCUAUCAGCAGGGAAGAUAAUGACGGUACCUGACUAAGAAGCUCCGGCUAAAUACGUG